rnacentral:rRNA from 1 species
CGCAGCCGCGGUAAUUCCAGCUCCAAUAGCGUAUAUUAAAGUUGUUGCAGUUAAAAGCUCGUAGUUGAAUUUCGGGAUCAAGGAAUCGGUCAUGCCUCGGUAUGUACUGGUUUUAUUGGUUCUCACCUUCUAAAGAACCAUGAUGUCAUUCAUUUGAUGUUAUGGGGAAUUAGGACUGUUACCUUGAAAAAAUUAGAGUGUUUAAAGCAGGCUUACGCUUGAAUACAUUAGCAUGGAAUAAUGAAAUAGGACAUCAGAUUCUAUUUUGUUGGUUUCUAGGAUCGAUGUAAUGAUUAAUAGGGAUAGUUGGGGGCAUUAGUAUUCAAUUGUCAGAGGUGAAAUUCUUGGAUUUAUUGAAGACUAACUACUGCGAAAGCAUUUUGCCAAGGAUGUUUUCAUUAAUCAAGAACGAAAGUUAGGGGAUCGAAGACGAUCAGAUACCGUCGUAGUCUUAACCAUAAACUAUGCCGACUAGGGAUCGGAUGAUGUUAAUUUUUUAAUGACUCAUUCGGCGCCUUAC